AGGGAGCCUGUUUGUAAAUAGGGCAGGUCCCCUGCAUAAGGACAGUGUUUUUAUUCACA
ensembl:miRNA